rnacentral:rRNA from 1 species
AUUGAACGCUGGCGGCAGGCCUAACACAUGCAAGUCAAACGGUAACAGGAAGAAGCUUGCUUCUUUGCUGACGAGUGGCGGACGGGUGAGUAAUGUCUGGGAAACUGCCUGAUGGAGGGGGAUAACUACUGGAAACGGUAGCUAAUACCGCAUAACGUCGCAAGACCAAAGAGGGGGACCUUCGGGCCUCUUGCCAUCGGAUGUGCCCAGAUGGGAUUAGCUAGUAGGUGGGGUAACGGCUCACCUAGGCGACGAUCCCUAGCUGGUCUGAGAGGAUGACCAGCCACACUGGAACUGAGACACGGUCCAGACUCCUACGGGAGGCAGCAGUGGGGAAUAUUGCACAAUGGGCGCAAGCCUGAUGCAGCCAUGCCGCGUGUAUGAAGAAGGCCUUCGGGUUGUAAAGUACUUUCAGCGGGGAGGAAGGGAGUAAAGUUAAUACCUUUGCUCAUUGACGUUACCCGCAGAAGAAGCACCGGCUAACUCCGUG